CAAUAGCGUAUAUUAAAGUUGUUGCGGUAAAAAAGCUCGUAGUUGGAUUUCUACCGAAGAUAGCCGGUCGGGUCUUCGACCUUGUAUCUGGUUUUGUCUUUGGUAUCCUCAUAGGGAACGUUUCUGCGCUUUAUUGCGUGGUGCGGUAUCUAUGACUUUUACUUUGAGGAAAUUAGAGUGUUCACGGCAGGCAAACGCCUUGAAUAGAUUAGCAUGGAAUAAUAACAUAGGAUCUUCGUCCUAUUUUGUUGGUUUCUAGGGCUAAGAUAAUGAUUAAUAGGGAUAAUUGGGGGCAUCUGUAUCAACGCGUCAGAGGUGGAAUUCUUGGAUUGCGUUGCGACAAACUACUGCGAAAGCAUUUGCCAAGGAUGUUUUCAUUGA
rnacentral:rRNA from 1 species